ACCCAAGUGCUGGAAUAGGUAGACAGUGAAAGCUUAAGUUUUUCUGAGAUAGCAUCUCGUGUGUGUUCGAAUCACUCCUUGGGUA
rnacentral:tRNA from 1 species